CCUAUGGGGGGCAGCAGGCGCGAAAACUUUACAAUGCGGGAAACCGUGAUAAGGGGACACCGAGUGCCAGCAUCAUAUGCUGGCUGUCCAGGUGUGUAAAAUACACCUGUUAGCAAGGGCCGGGCAAGACCGGUGCCAGCCGCCGCGGUAACACCGGCGGCCCGAGUGGUGAUCGUGAUUAUUGGGUCUAAAGGGUCCGUAGCCGGUUUGGUCAGUCCUCCGGGAAAUCUGAUAGCUCAACUAUUAGGCUUUCGGGGGAUACUGCCAGACUUGGAACCGGGAGAGGUAAGAGGUACUACAGGGGUAGGAGUGAAAUCUUGUAAUCCCUGUGGGACCACCUGUGGCGAAGGCGUCUUACCAGAACGGGUUCGACGGUGAGGGACGAAAGCUGGGGGCACGAACCGGAUUAGAUACCCCCGUAGUCC
rnacentral:rRNA from 1 species